rnacentral:lncRNA from 1 species
UCUCCUGCUUCCCUCAUCUGUUCUCUUCCAAAGAAGCUGGUCCUUAGCCUGUAUUGCGGAGCAAGCUUUCGGCGACCAGCUGGACCCUGGGCACCCUUCUUCGAACAAUGGCUUUUAAUUCUCAGACUAGAACGUUUAGGAUUACAAAAGAAACUGGUUCUUUUCACAUUCUUAUUCUUGUGAUGUAGCAUUCCGCAUAUAUAUAUAUAUAUAUAUAUAUAUAUAUAUAUAUAUGUAUCCAACUAUCCUAAAAGACACUACCCUUCAUCAUUCCAUGCCAUUAGACAUGUAUAGGACCAUGCAUGGUGAUCUCCUCCAGACAAAAGUAAAUGCUGGUGCAGAACAGGAUUUGAGUUUGAUGUCUUGCAUACAAUGUGAUCCCACUGUAUGACUACACAAAUGUUGGCAAAAGUGAGUUCAGAGGAAAUGGUAGGCAAGUACUUCCCAGUUUUGGCCAGAAGAUGGAGAAAAAAGAAUUCUCAAAAAAUGUUAAAGGUGUCUACAGAGAAAUAGACAAGUGAUGCACGACAGAUACAUGUGUCAGUCUGGUCCCUGCAGUUGUAUUUGUAAUAAUACACAUUGGAGCAAUUUCAUGGCCAUCGGUUAGAGAAUGUUUGAGGAAUGAUCCAUUCAUAUCAAGAAGGACAUUUCAAAGAUCAAAACCUGAUGGAAAUGCUGGAGACCAUGGCGCUGAUAGGAGCUCAUGCGUGUGGACCAAUUACUACGUGACAGGCAUUGGCUCCAUGCUUUUCCUGCACUGCUCAUUUAAACACUGGACAACCUAAGUGUUCUGAUUUAUCCCAUUGGACAGAUAGAAA